AUACGUAGGUGGCAAGCGUUGUCCGGAAUUAUUGGGCGUAAAGCGCAUGUAGGCGGUGGUUUAAGUCUGUCGUGAAACUGCGGGGCUCAGCCCCGUAUGGCGAUGGAAACUGGACGGCUUGAGUGCAGGAGAGGAAAGGGGAACUCCCAGUGUAGCGGUGAAAUGCGUAGAUAUUGGGAAGAACACCGGUGGCGAAGGCGCCUUUCUGGACUGUGUCUGACGCUGAGAUGCGAAAGCCAGGGUAGCGAACGGGAUUAGAUACCCCGGUAGUCCUGGCCGUAAACGAUGGGUACUAGGUGUGGGAGGUAUCGACCCCUUCCGUGCCGGAGUUAACGCAAUAAGUACCCCGCCUGGGGAGUACGGCCGCAAGGCUUAAACUUAAAGGAAUUGACGGGG
rnacentral:rRNA from 1 species